rnacentral:misc_RNA from 1 species
AACCUAGCACACCUGCGGUGUGUACCUGCGGAAGGAUCAUUACCGAGUUUACAACUCCCAAACCCCUGUGAACAUACCUAUACGUUGCCUCGGCGGAUCAGCCCGCGCCCUGUAAAAAGGGACGGCCCGCCCGAGGACCCCUAAACUCUGUUUUUAGUGGAACUUCUGAGUAAAACAAACAAAUAAAUCAAAACUUUCAGCAACGGAUCU